GCUUCCUUAGCUCAGCGGUAGAGCAUCCGCCUGUCGAGCGGAGGGUCGCGCGUUCGAAUCGCGUAGGGAGCG
rnacentral:tRNA from 1 species